rnacentral:lncRNA from 1 species
GGGGAGAAUAUAGUUUGACACACUAUAACUGGAAACUAAGCAUCUUAACACUUAGAUUUUUGUGGAAGAUUAAGAGUUGGUCCUUUGGGAGUGGAAAUUAUUUUGAUACUCAAAUUUGCAUAAUGCCCGCUUUUUGAAUGUUGUGAUAGGUAAGUUAUUUGAUGACUCUUGUUGAUGAUUGAGUUUUAUAUCCUUGACUAUUCACAAGAGAGUUUGAUCCAAU